CAGGCCUAACACAUGCAAGUCGAACGCUGAAGCUUGGUGCUUGCACUGGGUGGAUGAGUGGCGAACGGGUGAGUAUCACGUGAGUAACCUGCCCCUGACUUCGGGAUAAGCCUGGGAAACUGGGUCUAAUACCGGAUAUGACCAUCUUUCGCAUGUUGGGUGGUGGAAAGUUUUUCGGUUGGGGAUGGGCUCGCGGCCUAUCAGUUUGUUGGUGGGGUAAUGGCCUACCAAGACGACGACGGGUAGCCGGCCUGAGAGGGCGACCGGCCACACUGGGACUGAGACACGGCCCAGACUCCUACGGGAGGCAGCAGUGGGGAAUAUUGCACAAUGGGGGAAACCCUGAUGCAGCGACGCCGCGUGGGGGAUGACGGCCUUCGGGUUGUAAACCUCUUUCAGUAGGGAAGAAGCCUUUGGGUGACGGUACCUGCAGAAGAAGUACCGGCUAACUACGUGCCAGCAGCCGCGGUAAUACGUAGGGUACAAGCGUUGUCCGGAAUUAUUGGGCGUAAAGAGCUCGUAGGUGGUUUGUCGCGUCUGCUGUGGAAUCGUGCCGCUUAACGGUGCGCGUGCAGUGGGUACGGGCAGACUGGAGUGCAGUAGGGGAGUCUGGAAUUCCUGGUGUAGCGGUGAAAUGCGCAGAUAUCAG
rnacentral:rRNA from 1 species